rnacentral:lncRNA from 1 species
CAAGCUGAGUUUCAUUCAUCUUCUACUCCAUUUCUUCUUUGUUUUCUUAUGCUUGAUUGAUCAUUGGUGAAGAUCCUUCCAUCCAGGACCUUAAAAUUGUUAUCAGAGCUCAAACUGGUGUCAAUCAAGUGUGUUUAUUCAGUUUUCUGAUUCACGGUUGUGUUCUUCACGUUCUCGGUCUCUUGAAGCUUGUUUUUGCUCGAGUUUUAUAGAUCCAAUCACAGUUUGCAUCAUGUGGAAUAAAGAUCUGCUUGGAUUUCAGCUUUUAAGUUGAAAUCUUAUUGUUUUCGGUUUGAUCUUCAUCAACCGAAAACAUAUCCUCAAUUGAUUUCUGCUCAGAUCUAAGCUAUUUGGAAGCUGUAUUUGAGGUUUCAAGUGUGUGGAAAUCAAAAUCGGAUCGAAAAUUUAUGUUUUUCAUUAAAAACUGUUAGCCUUCGUUUCAAUCUUCAGAAACCGAAAACUGUUCUUCAACCGAAAUCUCUUGAAUCUUGAGAACCCGAAAACUGUUUUCUGUCCUUGUUUGUGUAUACAGCUGUCAGGUUUUCAGGAUAGAACAAUGGUUGUCCUUUUGCUGGUUUUCGGUCGGUGAGUUGUAUCAGACGGUUUCAAGUGUUUAAUCAUAUGCAAGCUCAGUUUCAUUCAUCUUCUACUCCAUUUCUUCUUUGUUUUCUUAUGCUUGAUUGAUCAUUGGUGAAGAUCCUUCCAUCCAGGACCUUACAAUAGAUGGUUUGGGCUAGGCAUCUACGUAUGGAUGCGUUUGGGCAUUUGUCAAUGUAUUUUGGAUUCGUUUUGUGUAUGUUUGAAGUUUUCGGUCUAGGAAGCUUUUGGUUAAGGUGUGACCGAAAACCAGUUUUCGGUCUGCUGAUGGAAAACUGUUUUUGGUCCUUUUCAGUAUAUAUAGGUGUCAGGUUGUCAGGAUGGAACAACAGUUGUACUUUUGCUAGUUUUCGGUCCCUGGGUUGUAUCAGACAGGUUCAAGUGUUUAAUCGUAUGCGAUGUCAGUUUCAUUAAUCUUCUAUUCCAUUUCUUCUUUGUUUUCUUAUGCUUGAUUGAUCAUUAGGGAAGAUCCUUCCGUCCAGGACCUUAAUAUUGGUAUCAGAGCACGAACUGGUGUCAAUCAAGUGUGUUAAUUCAGUUUUCUGCAUCACGAUUGUGUUCUUCACGUUCUCGGUCUCUUGAAGCUUGUUUUUGCUCGAGUUUUGAAGAUCAGAUCACAGUUUGCAUCAUGUGGAAUAGAGAUCUGCUUGGAUUUCAGCUUUUUAGUUGAAAUCUUAUUGUUUUUGGUUUGAUCUUCAUCAACCGAAAACAUAUCUUCAAUUGAUUUCUACUCAGAUCUAAGCUAUUUGGAAGUUGUGUUUGAGGUUUUCAAGUGUGUGGAAAUCAAAAUCAGAUCGAAAAUUUAUGUUUUUCAUCAAAAACUGUUCGCUUUCGGUUCAAUCUUCAGAAACUAAAAACAAUUCUUCAACGAAAAUCUCUUGAAUCUUCAGAAACCUAAAAUUGUUUUCUGUCCAUGUCAGUAUAUAUAGGCGUCAGGUCGUCAGGAUAGAACAACAUUUGUGCUUUUGCUAGUUUUCGGUCCGUGAGUUGUAUCAGACGGUUUCAAGUGUUUAAUCGUAUGCAAGCUCAGUUUCAUUCAUCUUCUACUCCAUUUCUUCUUUGUUUUCUUAUGCUUGAUUGAUCAUUGGUGAGGAUCAUUGUGUCCACGACCUUACAAACGGUAUCAGAGCUCAAACUGGUGUAAAUCAAGUGUGUUAAUUCAGUUUUCUGCUUAAUGGUUGUGUUCUUCAUGUUCUCGGUCUCUAGAUGCUUGUUUUUGCUCGAGUUUUGAACAUCAGAUCACAGUUUGCAUCAUGUGGAAUAGAGAUCUGCUUUGAUUUCAGCUUUUCAGUUGAAAUCUUAUUGUUUUCGAUUUGAUCUUCAUCAACUAAAAACAUAUCUUCAAUUGACUUAUGCUUAGAUCUAAGCUAUUUGGAAGCUGUGUUUGAGGUUUCAAGUGUGCGGAAAUCAAAAUCGGAUCGAAAAUUUAUGUUUUUCAUUAAAAACUGUUAGCUUUCGUUUCAAUCUUCAGAAACCGAAAACUGUUCUUCAACCGAAAUCUCUUAAAUCUUGAGAACCCGAAAACGGUUUUCUAUCCUUGUUUGUGUAUACAGCUGUCAGGUUGUCAGGAUAGAACAAUGGUUGUCCUUUUGCUAGUUUUCGGUCGGUGAGUUGUAUCAGACGGUUUCAAGUGUUUAAUCGUAUGCAAGCUUAGCUUCAUUCAUCUUCUACUCCAUUUCUUCUUUGUUUUCUUAUGCUUGAUUGAUCAUUGGUGAAGAUCCUUCCAUCCAGGACCUUACAAUAUAUGGUUUGGGAUACGCAUCAAUGUAUGGAUGAGUUUGGGCAUUUUUCAAUGUAUUUUGGAGUCGCUUUGUGUAUGUUUGAUGUUUUCCGUCUUGGAAGCUUUUGGUUAAGGUGUGACCGAAAACCAGUUUUCGGUCUGCUAACCGAAAACUAUUUUUGGUCGUUAUCGGUAUAUAUAUGUGUCAGGUUGUCAAGAUGGUACAACAGUUGUAAUUUUGCUAGUUUCGGUCCCUGAGUUGUAUCAGACGGUUUCAAGUGUUUAAUCGUAUGCAAGCUAAGUUUCAUUCAUCUUCUACNUUGUCAGUAUAUAUAGGCGUCAGGUCGUCAGGAUAGAACAACAUUUGUCCUUUUGCUAGUUUUCGGUCCGUGAGUUGUAUCAGACGGUUUCAAGUGUUUAAUCGUAUGCAAGCUCAGUUUCAUUCAUCUUCUACUCCAUUUCUUCUUUGUUUUCUUAUGCUUGAUUGAUCAUUGGUGAGGAUCAUUGUGUCCACGACCUUACAAACGGUAUCAGAGCUCAAACUGGUGUAAAUCAAGUGUGUUAAUUCAGUUUUCUGCUUAAUGGUUGUGUUCUUCAUGUUCUCGGUCUCUAGAUGCUUGUUUUUGCUCGAGUUUUGAACAUCAGAUCACAGUUUGCAUCAUGUGGAAUAGAGAUCUGCUUUGAUUUCAGCUUUUCAGUUGAAAUCUUAUUGUUUUCGAUUUGAUCUUCAUCAACUAAAAACAUAUCUUCAAUUGACUUAUGCUUAGAUCUAAGCUAUUUGGAAGCUGUGUUUGAGGUUUCAAGUGUGUGGAAAUCAAAAUCGGAUCGAAAAUUUAUGUUUUUCAUUCAAAACUGUUAGCUUUCGUUUCAAUCUUCAGAAACCGAAAACUGUUCUUCAACCGAAAUCUCUUAAAUCUUGAGAACCCGAAAACGGUUUUAUAUCCUUGUUUGUAUAUAUAGCUGUCAGGUUGUCAGGAUAGAACAAUGGUAGUCCUUUUGCUAGUUUUCGGUCAGUGAGUUGUUUUAGACGGUUUCAAGUGUUUAAUCGUAUGCAAGCUUACUUUCAUUCAUCUUCUACUCCAUUUCUUCUUUGUUUUCUUAUGCUUGAUUGAUCAUUGGUGAAGAUCCUUCCAUCCAGGACCUUACAAUAUGUGGUUUGGGAUACGCAUCAAUGUAUGGAUGAGUUUGGGCAUUUUUCAAUGUAUUUUGGAGUCGUUUUGUGUAUGUUUGAUGUUUUCCGUCUUGGAAGCUUUUGGUUAAGGUGUGACCGAAAACCAGUUUUCGGUCUGCUAACCGAAAACUGUUUUUGGUCGUUAUCGGUAUAUAUAUGUGUCAGGUUGUCAAGAUGGUACAACAGUUGUAAUUUUGCUUCAGGUUUGUGUUCUCCACGUUCUCGGUCUCUUGAAGCUUGUUUUUGUUCGAGUUUUGAAGAUCAGAUCACAGUUUGCAUCAUGCUGAAUUGAGAUCUGCUUGGAUUUCAGUUUUUCAGUUGAAAUCUUAUUGUUUUCCGUUUGAUCUUCAUCAACCGAAAACUGUUUUCUGUGCUUGUCAGUAUAUAUAGGCGUCAGGUUGUCAGGAUAGAACAACAUUUGUCCUUUUGCUAGUUUUCGGUUCGUGAGUUGUAUCAGACGGUUUCAAGUGUUUAAUCGUAUGCAAGCUCAGUUUCAUUCAUCUUUUACUCCAUUUCUUCUUUGUUUUCUUAUGCUUGAUUGAUCAUUGGUGAAGAUCAUUCCGUCUAGGACCUUACAAACGGUAUCAGAGCUCAAACUGGUGUCAAUCAAGUGUGUUAAUUCAGUUUUUUGUUUAACGGUUGUGUGCUUCAUGUUCUCGGUCUCUUGAUGCUUGUUUUUGCUCGAGUUUUGAACAUCAGAUCACAGUUUGCAUUAUGUGGAAUAGAGAUCUGCUUUGAUUUCAGCUUCUCAGUUGAAAUCUUAUUGCUUUCGAUUUGAUCUUCAUCAAUUAAAAACAUAUCUUCAAUUGAUUUCUGCUCAGAUCCAAGCUAUUUGGAAGCUGUGUUUGAGGUUUCAAGUGUGUGGAAGUCAAAAUCGGAUCGAAAAUUUAUGUUUUUCAUUAAAAACUGUUAGCUUUCGUUUCAAUCUUCAGAAACCGAAAACUGUUCUUCAACCGAAAUCUCAUAAAUCUUGAGAACCCGAAAACGGUUUUCUAUCCUUGUUUGUAUAUAUAGCUGUCAGGUUGUNNNNNNNNNNNNNNNNNNNNNNNNNNNNNNNNNNNNNNNNNNNNNNNNNNNNNNNNNNNNNNNNNNNNNNNNNNNNNNNNNNNNNNNNNNNNNNNNNNNNGAUCUAUAAAACUCGAGCAACAACAAGCUUCAAGAGACCGAGAACAUGAAGAACACAACCGUGAAGCAGAAAACUAAAUUAACACACUUGAUUGACACCAGUAUGAGCUCUGAUACCAUUUGUAAGGUCCUGGACGGAAUGAUCUUCACCAAUGAUCAAUCAAGCAUAAGAACACAAAGAAGAAAUGGAAUAGAAGAUGAAUGAAACUGAGAUCACAUUCGAUUAAACACUUGAAACCGUCUGAUACAACUCAGGGACCGAAAACUAGCAAAAGUACAAUUGUUGUUCCAUCGUGACAACCUGACACCUAUAUAUACUGAAAACGAUCAAAAACAAUUUUCGGUUAGCCGACCGAAAACUGGUUUUCGGUCACCCCUUAACCAAAAGCUUCCUAGACGGAAAACAUCAAACAUACACAAAACGACUCCAAAAUACAUGGACAAAUGCCCAAACUCAUCUAUACGUUGAUGCGUAGGCCAAACCAUAUAUUGUAAGGUCCUGGAUGGAAGCAUCUUCACCAAUGAUCAAUCAAGCAUAAGAAAACAAAAAAGAAAUGGAGUACAAGAUGAAUGAAACUGACCUUGCAUACGAUUAAACACUUGAAACCGUCUGAUACAACUCACAGACCGAAAACUAGCAAAAGCACAAAUGUUGUUCUAUCCUGACGACCUGACGCCUAUAUAUACUGACAAGGACAGAAAACAGUUUUAGGUUUCUGAAGAUUCAAGAGAUUUUCGUUGAAGAAUUGUUUUUGGUUUCUGAAGAUUGAACCGAAAGCGAACAGUUUUUGAUGAAAAACAUAAAUUUUCGAUCUGAUUUUGAUUUCCACACACUUGAAACCUCAAACACAACUUCCAAAUAGCUUAGAUCUGAGUAGAAUUCAAUUGAAGAUAUGUUUUCGGUUGAUGAAGAUCAAACCAAAAACAAUAAGAUUUCAACUGAAAAGCUGAAAUCCAAGAAGAUCUCUAUUCCACAUGAUGCAAACUGUGAUCUGAUCUUCAAAACUUGAGCAAAAACCAGCUUCAAGAGACCGAGAACGUGAAGAACACAAUCGUGAAGCAGAAAACUGAAUAAACACACCUGAUUGACACCAGUUCGAGCUCUGAUACCAAUAUUAAGGUCCUGGACGGAAGGAUCUUCCCUAAUUAUCAAUCAAGCAUAAGAAAACAAAGAAGAAAUGGAAAAGAAGAUGAAUGAAACUGACAUCGCAUACGAUUAAACACUUGAACNNNNNNNNNNNNNNNNNNNNNNNNNNNNNNNNNNNNNNNNNNNNNNNNNNNNNNNNNNNNNNNNNNNNNNNNNNNNNNNNNNNNNNNNNNNNNNNNNNNNUUUGUAUCAUGUGGAAUAGAGAUCUGCUUGGAUUUCAGCUUUUAAUUUUAAAUCUUAUUGUUUUCGGUUUGAUCUUCAUCAACCAAAAACAUAUCCUCAAUUGAUUUCUGCUCAGAUCUAAGCUAUUUGGAAGCUGUAUUUGAGGUUUCAAGUGUGUGGAAAUCAAAAUCGGAUCGAAAAUUUUUGUUUUUCAUUAAAAACUAUUAGCUUUCGUUUCAAUCUUCAGAAACCGAAAACUGUUCUUCAACCGAAAUCUCUUGAAUCUUGAGAACCCGAAAACUGUUUUCUGUCCUUGUUUGUGUAUAUAGCUGUCAGGUUGUCAGGAUAGAACAAUGGUUGUCCUUUUGCUAGUUUUCGGUCAGUGAGUUGUAUCAGACGGUUUCAAGUGUUUAAUCGUAUGCAAGCUUAGUUUCAUUCAUCUUCUACUCCAUUUCUUCUUUGUUUUCUUAUGCUUGAUUGAUCAUUGGCGAAGAUCCUUCCAUCCAGGACCUUACAUUAUAUGGUUUGGGAUACGCAUCAAUGUAUGGAUGAGUUUGGGCAUUUUUCCGUGUAUUUUGGAGUCGUUUUGUGUAUGUUUGAUAUUUUCCGUCUAGGAAGCUUUUGGUUAAGGUGUGACCGAAAACUAGUUUUCGUUCUGCUAACCGAAAACUGUUUUUGGUCGUUAUCAGUGUAUCUAUGUGUUAGGUUGUCAGGAUGGUCCCUGAGUUGUAUCAGACGGUUUCAAGUGUUUAAUCGUAUGCAAGCUAAGUUUCAUUCAUCUUCUACUCCAUUUCUUCUUUGUUUUCUUACGCUUGAUUGAUCAUUGGUGAAGAUCCUUCCAUCCAGGACAUUAAAAUUGUUAUCAGAGCUCAAACUGGUGUCAAUCAAGUGUGUUUAUUCAGUUUUCUGAUUCACGGUUGUGUUCUUCACGUUCUCGGUCACUUGAAGCUUGUUGUUGCUUGAGUUUUAUAGAUCAAAUCACAGUUUGCAUCAUGUGGAAUAGAGAUCUGCUUGGAUUUCAGCUUUUAAGUUGAAAUCUUAUUGUUUGCGGUUUGAUCUUCAUCAACCGAAAACAUAUCCUCAAUUGAUUUCUGCUCAGAUCUAAUCUAUUUGGAAGCUGUAUUUGAGGUUUCAAGUGUGUGGAAAUCAAAAUCGGAUCGAAAAUAUAUGUUUUUCAUCAAAAACUGUUAGGUUUCGGUUCAAUCUUCAGAAACCAAAAACAAUUCUUCAACCAAAAUCUUUUGAAUCUUCAGAAACCGAAAACUGGUUUCUGUCCUUGUCAGUAUAUAUAGGCGUCAGGUUGUCAGGAUAGAACAACAGUUGUCCUUUUGCUAGUUUUCGGUUUUAUCAGACGGUUUCAAGUGUUUAAUCAUAUGCAAGUUCCGUUUCAUUCAUCUUCUACUCCAUUUCUUCUUUGUUUUCUUAUUCUUGAUUGACCAUUGGUGAAGAUCCUUCCAAACAGGACCGUACAAUAUAUGGUUUGGCCUAGGCAUCAAUGUAUGGAUGAGUUUGGGCAUUUGUCAAUGUGCUUUGGAGUCGUUUUGUGUGUGUUUGAUGUUUUCGGUCUAGGAAGCUUUUGGUUAAGGUGUGACCGAAAACCUGUGUUUGGUCAUUGUCAGUAUAUAUAGCUGUCAGGUUGUCAGGAUGGAACAACAGUUGUACUUUUUCCUAGUUUUUGGUCCCUGAGUUGUAUCAGACGGUUUCAAGUGUUUAAUCGUAUGCAAGCUCAGUUUCCUUCAUCUUCUACUCCAUUUCUUCAUUGUUUUCUUACGCUUGAUUUAUCAUUAGUGAAGAUCUUUCCAUCCAGGACCUUAAAAUUGGUAUCAGAGCUCAAACUAGUGUCAAUCAAGUGUGUUUAUUCAGUUUUCUGCUUCACAAUUUUGUUCUUCACGUUCUCGGUCUCUUGAAGCUCGUUUUUGCUCGAGUUUUGAAGAUCAAUUCACAGUUUGCAUCAAGCGGAAUAGAUAUCUGAUUGGAUUUCAGCUUUUCAGUUGAAAUCUUAUUGUUUUCGGUUUGAUCUUUAUCAACCGAAAACAUAUCUUCAAUUGAUUUCUUCUCAGAUCUAAGCUAUUUGGAAGCUGUGUUUGAGGUUUCAAGUGUGUGGAAAUCUAAAUCGGAUCGAAAAUUUAUGAUUUUCAUCAAAAACUGUUAGCUUUCGGUUCAAUCUUCAGAAACCCAAAACUGUUAUUCAACCAAAAUCUCUUGAAUCUUUAGAAAUCGAAAACUGUUUUCUGUCGUUGUCAGUAUAUAUAGGUGUCAAGUUGUCAGGAUAGAACAAUGGUUGUCCUUUUGCUAGUUUUCGGUCAGUGGGUUGUAUCAGACGGUUUCAAGUGUUUAAUCAUAUGCAAGCUUAGUUUCAUUCAUCUUCUACUCCAUUUCUUCUUUGUUUUCUUAUGCUUGAUUGAUCAUUGGUGAAGAUCAGACGGUUUCAAGUGUUUAAUCAUAUGCAAGCUUAGUUUCAUUCAUCUUCUACUCCAUUUCUUCUUUGUUUUCUUAUGCUUGAUUGAUCAUUGGUGAAGAUCAGACGGUUUCAAGUGUUUAAUCAUAUGCAAGCUUAGUUUCAUUCAUCUUCUACUCCAUUUCUUCUUUGUUUUCUUAUGCUUGAUUGAUCAUUGGUGAAGAUCAGACGGUUUCAAGUGUUUAAUCAUAUGCAAGCUUAGUUUCAUUCAUCUUCUACUCCAUUUCUUCUUUGUUUUCUUAUGCUUGAUUGAUCAUUGGUGAAGAUCAUUUCGUCCAGGACCUUACAAACGGUAUCAGAGCUCAAACUAGUGUCAAUCAAGUGUGUUAAUUCAUUUUUCUGCUUCACAGUUGUGUUCUUCAUGUUCUCGGUCUCUUGAUGCUUGUUUUUGCUCGCGUUUUGAAAAUCAGAUCAUAGUUUGCAUCAUGUGGAAUAGAGAUCUGCUUUGAUUUCAGCUUUUCAGUUGAAAUCUUAUUGUUUUCGAUUUGAUCUUCAUCAACUAAAAACAUAUCUUCAAUUGAUUUCUGCUUAGAUCUAAGCUAUUUGGAAGUUGUGUUUGAGGUUUCAAGUGUGCGGAAAUCAAAAUCGGAUCGAAAAUUUAUGUUUUUCAUUAAAAACUGUUAGCUUUCGUUUCAAUCUUCAGAAACCGAAAACUGUUCUUCAACCGAAAUCUCUUGAAUCUUGAGAACCCGAAAACUGUUUUUUGUCCUUGUUUGUGUAUAUAGCUGUCAGGUUGUCAGGAUAGAACAAUGGUUGUCCUUUUGCUAGUUUUCGGUCAGUGAGUUGUAUCAGACGGUUUCAAGUGUUUAAUCGUAUGCAAGCUUAGUUUCAUUCAUCUUCUACUCCAUUUCUUCUUUGUUUUCUUAUGCUUGAUUGAUCAUUGGUGAAGAUCCUUCCAUCCAGGACCUUACAAUAUAUGGUUUGGGAUACGCAUCAAUGUAUGGAUGAGUUUGGGCAUUUUUUCAUGUAUUUAGGAGUCGUGUUGUGUAUGUUUGAUAUUUUCCGUCUAGGAAGCUUUUGGUUAAGGUGUGACCGAAAACCAGUUUUCGUUCUGCUAACCGAAAACUGUUUUUGGUCGUUAUCAGUAUAUAUAUGUGUUAGGUUGUCAGGAUGGAACAAUAGUUGUAAUUUUGCUAGUUUCGGUCCCUGAGUUGUAUCCGACGGUUUCAAGUGUUUAAUCUUAUGCAAGCUAAGUUUCAUUCAUCUUCUACUCCAUUUCUUCUUUGUUUUCUUACGCUUGAUUGAUCAUUGGUGAAGAUCCUUCCAUCCAGGAUCUUAAAAUUGGUAUCAGAGCUCAAACUGGUGUCAAUCAAGUGUGUUUAUUCAGUUUUCUGAUUCAUAGUUGUGUUCUUCACGUUCUCGGUCUCUUGAAGCUUGUUGUUGCUCGAUUUUUAUAGAUCAAACCACACUUUGCAUCAUGUGGAAUAGAGAUCUGCUUGGAUUUCAGCUUUUAAGUUGAAAUCUUAUUGUUUUCGGUUUGAUCUUCAUCA